rnacentral:lncRNA from 1 species
UUAUUUUUCUGUGGUUCUGUCCAGAAUCAGACAUGAGCUGUGGCGGUCACUCAGGAGUUUCAGUGUUGGAGUCUGCAGCUAUUCUAGCUUGUAGGUUGCUGACAUCAUUGGUCCACAUCCCAUUUCUCUUCCUGAUCUAUUUUCUUUGGUAAUCUCACUUCCCCCCAACCCUGAACUCAAAACUUUUCAGUCUAUGAGGUCCUUUGCUACUGCCCCCCACUCCAAACAAAAGCAGCAAUGCAUGUAUGUCAUCCUCUUGGAAAAGUCUCAGAAUGCCUCUCAGCUCGCUCUGACAUGCACAAUAUUUUAAAAUCCUGAUUCCAUUGUUGCUAGUCCCAUCCUCAGAUAUGUGCUGCCAAAGCUGUCUGUCCUAGAAAGGGUGUCUUCAUCAUCAUAGAUGCCGUGGCUUCUGGAUCUCAUCACAGAUCUUCAUAGUCUGUGGGGUUACUAGGAGACAUGAGCAGAACAGAGGAUGGCAUUAGAUAUAAUGUGCUUCUGCCUGUCAGGGCAGUGUCUCAGGGGACAGAACAAGGUCUGUGCUGUGAAGCUGGUGGGUGCCACCUACUCGAUGCCACCAGGAUUUCCUACUCUCCUAAUUUGAUUUUCAUUGGUGUAAUAAAGACGAUGAACAAAAACAAGUUGGGAAGGAAAGGGUUUAUUUGGUCUUAUAAAGUAACACCCCACCAGGAGGGGAAGUCAGGGCAGGAACUGAAGGCAGGAACUGAGGCAGAGGCCGUGGAGGAGUGCUUCUUACUGGCUUGUUCCCCCCUUCUCUCUUAGCCUGCUUUCCAGGACCACCCACACUGGGCUGGGCCCUCCCUCACCAAUCAUUAAUCAAGAAAAUGUCCUGUAGGCUUACCCACGAGCUGAUCUUAAAGGAAGCAUUUUCUCAGUUGAGGUUGCCUCUUUCAGAUGAUCUUAGCUUGAGUCAAAUGAACCCAAACAAACAAACACAAGCUAAUCAGCACAGUCCUCUGUAAUUCAUCACCCUUAUAGUUGGUGGCAGGCUCUGUAGCUCUCUAGCCUGGUGGGACUUGGUCAGUCCAUACUGAGGUUGUUCCAUAUACAUAAAACGCACACUAAUACUUGGAAAGCUUCAACAAGCGGAAUGACUGUUGCAAAUGAUGUUGACUGCAUGUGAUGGUAAUUUAAUAUUAACAUUUCCACUGUCAUCUGUUCUUAGCAUGGCUACUGAGCAAUUCAGAAGUGUGCCUAAGGCCCAGCCAUUAUUGUUCUGCACUGAGAGGUCGCCAGUGAAAUCCCAUGAGUGAGACAGGACCCUGCAGAGACUCUGAAUCAAAACAACACAGAUGGUUUUGCUGGAGUUGAGGGCGCAUGAAGCACUGGACAAGGCCCAGAAACCACAAGAACCACCUUGUAGGUUCUGGGGCUAUUUUGCUUAAACACCCCCCCCCCCCACACACACACCCCUUCAGCUGCAAAAGCAGUGUGCCCCCCAGUGGCCUUCUCUUGGCCUUGCUCCGGUGCUGCCCUGUAGAUUAGCAACUGUUUUCCCAGCAUCCUCCAGGUGCUGUGGAUGUUAGCUGGGGCAGAGGUUUGGGCAUACUGCUUUCAAUUCAGGCAACAUUCUCUUGUGGUCCCUCUCCCCGUGUCCUGUAUUCUGUUCCCAGCUGGGCAUGUGGAAAGGCUGUGUGGAUCUCAGCUCCUCCGCUUGCACAGAGGCUGAGCCUGACCUGUGCCCGUCUGCUCAGCAGUGUUACUGUUGGUGGCUGGAAGACUUGGUAUUUAUUUAUUUUGCACUAGUCACAGUUGGUGUGGAAACUACUUCAAGUGUUUGGGAGACUACUUGGCUAUAACGGAAAGAGAUGGAUAAUUUAUUGCUUUGAUAGUUUUAAAUUAAAAGCUAUUCUCACAAA